CGAAGGCAGACGCUUAACGACUGAGCCACCCAGGAUAUAUCUCACUGAAGAGCUAAGGUGAUAAAGUUCUUGGUUUAAUAGAAUUGUAAAUAAAACAUUACUAGCUCCUGUAGAACAUUGUCCUCGGAUUCAUCCUAUGCCCUUGCAGACCAAGACAUCAAGGGUUGAUCAGGAAUUUAAGAAAUUAUUAUAUCAAGAGGAAACUGUCUUCACAUAAUUACCACACAGAAAUGGUAUCUGGAGCCAAGUGAGUGAAUGGGUGAAGCAGAUGCAUGGAAGUUGAUGAAGACAAUGGCAAGCUCCCCUUAUUCAAGAUGACCACACUUAAAAUCAGUGAAUAAAAAAAUCCGUGUGGGCCAAAUAAAAUGUGUCUGUAGCAGUUUUGAAUGGGAGGCAAAAGUUUCAAACCUUGGACUAGCACUGGACUGUUCUCUAAAUAUUCAAGAAGCAUUAUUGAUUUGGAGUCUUGGAGCAAGAUCUUACAUGUACUUUACAUUAAAUUGUGAUCUCUAAUGA